UAAUAUAUCGUAGGACAUUAAUUAAAUCCUACCUCUAGUUGCUUUUCUUUCGUUUUAAUUUAUAGACGUUUAACCAAAGAUCGGUUAUUGCUUGGUUGUUUCUCGCUGUUUCGAAAGUUCCACACGACGAACCUCCGAUACAUUCAUAAAUCUUCAAUGAAAGAGAAAUUAGUUGAUCGACGAGGGAAUAAAUUUCGCGAGUACGAAGUCUCGGAUACGAAUUAAGGGCACGAAGCAGAACGAAAAAGGAGUGGAAAUGUCAUUGCAUAUUAUGGUGGCGGUUUCGACGAAUACAUACAUCCUACUGCAGUUGCCGAUCUGGCGAUAAGGCACAGCGUGCGGAGGGACCGUUAAUAAUUUUUACGACACUCUUAACUCGCCACCCAGUAUUAAGCGGUCCUCCGUAGAAGACGAGCUUUGAUCUUUGCCGACGCUGCAUCGACUUAAUGAGUGCGAGAGUGAGAUAGUCGCGCAACCAGGAUGAAACAGAGCGCACGACUGGCGCACCGCAGUCCCCUGUAGAUCUAUUUUCCGCAAUGUGCACCGCUGCAGUUCGGGUUGCAUCUCUACAGGCUUCCUACUGUGUGCUUUCAUCUACGAUGAAACGUUACUGUUCUGGAACAGUAGCGUAAAAAGUAAGAAUUUUUCUCGGCCAAAAUUGACUUUAAUUAGAUGUGUUGAAUAGCCAUGAUGGAAUUUUAUGAAUGCCAGAAGACUGUAUUUUAUAGCUGUUUUUAUGGCUCUUUACUGUAAUAAUGACAAAUAUUUUUCUCUUGCUGUUUAAUAUCAUCGUUAAUUCUUUUAAAGGACUUUUACUAUUCUUGUCUGUCUUUUAAAUAUGCAGUGGCCUGCAAAAAUCUCUGAGCAGAUAGAUUUUUCGUUUCGCGUUUGCAUACGUCGAAUAUUGAUAUUCCAUGAUCGGCGCCCAGUUUUUAUACGAACAAUCAUCGUUUCUCGGUUCAUAAGUAUCUAUUAAAACAUGUUGAAAAUUGACGCCAUAACAACUAAUUAGCAGAGUAGCGUAUAAUCGCCAUGCGGAUUAUCUUCAUGACUGAAAUACUCGUUUCAUGAUUCCACGGAUAUUCCGGAUAUUUCUCCAUUAAAAGAAUCCUUCCUUCGCCACUUUAUUUUCUCCUCACCUCUUAUCUAUCUUACGUGCUCUUCAUUAGCGAGCUUAAAAAUCGCGACAACGUAAAAACCAAGCACGCACGCACAUAUUUAAUUAAGAAAAAGACCAAGACCAACGUAGGCAAGAAGAAAGCCGGCAAAACGACGCACGAUCCGGUCUUUCGCCUGUGCCUCCUAACAUGAAGAACGCCACUAAAAACCCAUCGAUUUAAAAGCAGAAAACGUCGAAACGUCGACAAGGACAAAAGGAGGCGCCGAUGUCAUACACGAGGGAAAUAAAGAAGGGGGACACAUCGGGCAACAAUAAGCGACAAUACGACGAAAAAAUACGUACGCCAACGACGCACGACGAGGAAAAAGGAAAAGAAAUGAACGAAGAGUAACAUGGAGAAGGAUAGAUCCCGAUGAAGUAAGGAGCGACGUAACCAGACGGAAAAAGAGAGAAGAGAAGGCCGAACCAGCCGGCGAAACAUGGAAGAAGGAGAAACUCUCGGGAUAAGAGAAUGGGAAUGGGCGUGGGGGAAGAAGAGAAGUCGACUACUUCCCUUACGCAAGACGACUCGGUGCGCCACGUUCGUUCACUGCGUUGGCCGCGCUCAACGGUGCGUGCACAUGAGAGACACGAGAGAUGCUAUCGGCCACCAAGACGGCUCUCGACUUCUCCAGACCACCCACCGGCAAAAUAAUAAACACGGAAUGCGGCAUACACGUCCGUCCAUCCGUCCGUCCAUUCGUUUGUUUCUAUUUCGCAGAUACCAUCGAAAAUAAGGUCUCCCGUCGAUACCGCAGCUGGCUAUCGCCGAUACUAUGCGCCUUCUGCCGUGUUGCUGUCGGGUUGCAAUAACUUGCUGAAUUUGAGCUCGACUACUACCGUGCUCGCGACAGGAGAUCGUUCGACGCGUGAUCUCUUUACCGGUAAUGAGUAAAGCAGUAACGAGCGACGAAUAUUAUUCGCCGGAAAAUGCAGACGCGACCGUGCAACAUCUUAAUCUGACGUGAUCGAUGACUGUGAGAUAGACAUUGUGAUUAGUUAGCUUGGUUGCUGAUCGCAGCUUUGGCGAUUCAGUAGAGUUUUCAAGAAGAAUUUAGGAAGUUGUCGAGACACGGGCAGCACGUUUGACUGUGUCGACGUUAUUAAUGUCUUUGUUGUAACUGAUAUACUUUUGAUAUAGAGGAAAUCGGAAAUCAUAGUACGAGCGAUCGGCUGGUGAAUGUAAAUGAAAGGAUAAGUGGAGAAAGAAAGAAUAACGUGUUUUCGUUUGAGGCUUCGUUUUAACCUGUACAUUAACUGCACGUUUCCAAUUAUGAACUUGUGUUUCUGCUCGUGUCUUAAACAAGACAUUAUUAAACGUUAUUAAACAUGGACAAUUUACUUCUUGGUUAAUGAAGCGAUUCUUAAGAAAGCCUUCGAUUUUCCGUCUGCCGGUAUUGUCCAACAUCAUCGUUAAGACGAAUGCAGAGAUGACUAAUGCCAAGGAUCGGAGGCGCGGCUCUUCCAACAGAGGAUCGUCCUUUACCAUUGUAACGAGGCGAAUCGUUACUCUUCAUCACGGGUGUAGACCAGCUGGCCGAGAACAAGAGAGACGGACGAACAAGAUCGUAACCUGUGGCUAUCUGCAUCUACGAACAGCUACCGGUGCUUCUCGUCGAUGGAUUAUCUACGACGAUACGCCCGCCGUUGUUGUCUGGCCGUGUGGCGCCGAAACGCCAUGGGGACGUGGACUUCCGGUGUUGGCCGGCCGACAAUUCUUCUACAAAUUCCAUUCCGGACGAGCAAUUGUCAUUAUCUUGGUUGACUCGGCGGAUUCUUCCUGCCUCUUUCUCGUUUCCCCUCUCGAUACGCGCCUGUGUCAGAGAUACGAUCGACGUGGCAGGUUCGGUCGGUACCGUGAUCGGUCAACGAUUGGUAAUUAUCGGCUGAUUACACGGAGCCAGAGUCACGCGUUAAUUAAAUGGUUACGCUGGUGGUGAGAAUUGGAGCUGAACGUAUCUCACAGGUUCAUGCGGCAGUUAACUGGCGUGUUUUUUCUCUACGGCCUUGUUCGUGCGAGCUUCUCGGUGGCUUCCGAUGUCGAAUUUUAUCGACGGAGAUGCGUCAGCUAAUUUACACGGAAAGUAUUUGAACGAUUAUUCUGUAAAAUUUGUAACGCGUACGUAUGUGAUGUUAUACGAAACUCGCUGAAACUUCGUUGGUAAUUUUAUUAAUAUUAAUAUUUUAUUGUCAUAUAAUCUAUCAGCAUUAUAGCGGUAAAAUUUUGUAAAUUUUUUUUGUUUAACACACAUGACAUAGUUAUGAAAAGUUUCUAGAAAUUUUUCAAUGUUACAUGGUAACUAAGUGAUUGCGGAACACACAAUCACUUAGUUGCCAAUCCAAUAACUAGAAAAUAAUAACUAGAGCUAAUGAAUCGUAGUUUAUCUUCGGUCGAAACAUUUAUUAAUUUUCUUUAAUGUUAAUAUAAUGAUUACAUUAACAACUGAAGAGAUGUUAGCAGGUUUAGUUCUAUAACCUUCAUCCGUUACAUUUUGAAAACUAAUUUAAUGGUUGAGUAACUUUCCUCCGUGGUAUAUUAUUAUUGUGUAUUAUAUAAAUUAAACCAGAUAAGACAGUAUAGUAAUUAGUGUACCUUUUUACGUCUUUAUAGCGUACACAGUGUCAGUGGUAAAUCAUUUUACAAGUAUAUUGUAAGAUUAAACAUCCUGCGCUUUCGCAAUAUAUAUUUAACCACUUUGAAAUAAUUAAAAUGUAAGAGAAAGUAAUAAAUAGGAAUAGUAAUUUAUGUUUCUAUAUAUAAUACGUACGUUGUACGAAGAAAAACGAGGUAUUUAAUUAUCUUCCGCGUCGUGAAAGGCUUUUACAGAAGAAUUAUUUACAAAAACAAAAAAAAAAAAAAAAGAAAAAAGAAAAAAGAGUUAGAUAGUUCCGUAAUGACGAUGACACGCAGAAUAUAAAACGAAGUGAUGUAGCGUGUUCUUUGUUUCUUUUUACCACUGAAAAUUAUUCUAUGAAAAUUGGACGUUAUUACUAUACACAAUUUCCGCUUCCGCAAUCGCUAUUACACCGCGGUUUUACGCACACGAUAUAACAUUUACUUCCUUAAUGCACCACUGCACUAAUUUCACUGCCCUCAUGCAAACAAACAUAAUCUUAUACCAUGUACAGUAAUCUCAAAACGAAACGUCGCAACUUUUUCGAAACCGAAAGUAUCAUAUUUAUUUUGGAAAAUCAUAAAUAACUAUGAAUCGAAAAUGAAGCAAAUAAUAAUUUGCACAUUAUCGUCCACAUACUACUAUAGUAAAAUACAAAGGAUGAAACGUUGCGCGUAUUAACCUUGAACAUGUUCAGCAAAUUAUUUACAAAACGUGUACAACAUACAAAAUUGAAACAAAAACACCGAUGAACUGAUUCAGAUUUUCCGAAUCAAAGAUACUUAUUUCACGUAAGUUAGUAUUGUAAAUAUUAUCGUGGACGAAAGGUCUAAGAGAUAUUGGGCGAACUAUAAACAGUGUCGCGAGAAAGCCGAAGUGCCGACAGGCCCUACAAUAUAUCGUCGGUUCUUCAAUCCAACAGUUUCAUGGAAAAGGCCUGCGUGAUCUUGGCCACAAGUGGUUGCGGAACACGUGCGUGGUGGGGCUAAGACAAAAGACAAAGAGAUGCUAGGGGACAAAGACAAAUUAACAGUCGGUGUUAGUUGAGAAGUCAGAGAGUGUAAAUCGAGAAGUCAGGGAGUGCGAAUUGCUUUGUCGAGAGUGUGUGGUCCGCCUGAGAGAGAGCGUUGGAUCCGUGGUGACGAGAGUUGCAAAUUAACUAUCUAGUUGUCUUAAUUAUAAUACGUUAUUGUGAUUAGUUCAUAUUAAACAACCAUCGUUAACCUAACCUCAACAUCUGUUUAAUCCAUUUAUUGUAAACAAACUAAUUGUAGUAAAGAUCCCACAGUAUGAAGCGAGAGAAAACCAAUGUGCGAACCGAUUUGCGCGCUAUUAACAUCGCCUAGACACCGCUGUAAUGGAGUGCAAAGGGUUAAACGCUGCUAUUAACCUUGCACUUCUUCAGCCAGUUAUUCGACAGACGCGUAAUCGACAUCAACGAAUUGAUUGGUAUUUUUGAAAUCGCCAGUACUUAUUUAAUAGAAAUGUCUACGAAUCGAAAGAAAAGCAAUUUGCGCGCUAUUAAUCUCGCCAAGGCGUUGCUCUAGUCGAGUACAACGGGUUAAACGUUGCGGAUAUUAACCUUGAACUUUAUCAGCGAAUUACUCGUCGGGCAGAUACGACGGACUGAACUGCGGGAUUGAUGAAUUGAUCGAGUUUUUAAAAAGCAGAAGUAUUUGCUUCGUGUGAACGUCUAUGAAUUGAAACCAAUUUGAACGUUAUCAAUAUCGCUGAGGCGUUGUCUGCAGUGGAGCGCAAAGGUCUAAACGCUGCGGAUAUUAACCUUGCACUUCGUCAGCAAAUUAUCAGACACUGUAUGGUAUACGAGAUCGAAUCGAAACGCCGAUCAAUCGAUUGAGUUUUUUUUUUUUUUUUUUUUUUUAAUGACAGUACUUAUUUUACGUGAACGUCCACGAAUUGAAACCAGUUUGCAGGUUAUCAAUAUCGCCAUGGCGCUGCUGUAGCGGAGCUUAAAGGUUUACACGCUGCGGAUAUUAACCUUCAAUUUCACCAAACAUAUAUGGCACAUCGGACCUCGAACUUCAUGGGUAAAUUGCUCGACGAACAGAUACGGCAUAUUGAACCUUGAACUUCGUCAGCAAAUUACUCAACGAAGGAACACGGCAUACUGAACCUUGAACUUCAUCAGCAGAAUACUCAGCAAACAGAUACGGCGUACUGGUGGCUAAAAUGGCGAAUUGACGAAUUGAUCGAGAUUUUUUCACUCGAAGCUAUUUAUUUUUUAAACAGAAAUUAUUAUGUUCGAAAAAUAUAUUUAGGUUUAUAAAUUGGAAGAAAAUUGAACAAUAAUUUGCACACUAUCAAUGUCGCUGAGACACUGAUAGCGUGGAGCGCAAAUGGUUGAACACUACGGAUAUUAACCUUGAACUUCAGCAGCAAAUUGCUUUAUAAACACACAUGGCAUACUGAACCUUGAACUUCAUGGGAAAAUGAGUGGUCAAACAGGUAUUUAUUUCGGGACUUCAGCAGCAAAUUAUUCUGCAAACAGAGUGGUGGACUCAAACUGAUGACUCGGCCCAGCUUUUUAAAGUCGAAAGUAUUUAUUUUGCCACUUCGUCAGCAGAUUAUUCUGCAGACAUUGUUGAGAACUGAAACUGAUGAAUCGACUGUUUUUUUUUAAGAUUAAAAUUAUUCAUUUUUCAAAUGGAAAGUAUUCAUAUUCGAGGAAGAUGUAAAUUUCUAAGAAAUGAACGAAAUCGAACAAUAAUUUGCACAUUGUCAAUAUCGUCUAGACACUGCCAUUGUUGAAUACAAAGAGUUAAUGGCUACUGACAUUAACCCUGAACUUGCACAGUGAAUUAUUCGAUAUACAGCUAGAAAAAUUCACCGAAUGUCCAGCUGGAUAAAUUGUAAAGUACAAAUUAAAUAACAAAAAAAAAAAUAUACAAUAUACAAUAUACAAUAUUAUUAUUUAAUUUGUACUUUACAAUUUGUCCAGCUGGACAUUUGGUAAAUUUUCCUAACCUAAUUGCUAAAUAACAUGUGGAUGGCUACUCCCAGCAGGAUACCAUCUUCGAGUAGUCAAAGUGAACGCUUGAACUUGGUCAGAGAGUUACUCGACAAACGGGAACAACGUGUUGAGCCUCCAACUUCAUCGGCAAAUUACUCUCGGCAAACGUGUACGGUAUACGAGACUGAAACGGAUGGCUGACGAAUUGAUUAAGUUUUUCUACAAUCGAAGGUAUUUAUUCUGCGACUUCAUCGGCAAAUUACUCGACAAACAGAUACGGCGUACGGGACUGAAACGAGCAACCGAUGCCACGAAUAAGGAGAAAGAAAGAGGCACAGGUAGAAAAAGAGGACGUGGACAACUAGAACACGACUGAGAGAAGGGCACAAUGUUCAGGUGAAUAGGAGCGAGAGAACAAGGGGGAAGGAUAUCCGACUUACUAAUUGCGACGACGUCGGUGGUCCGUAGACGCACCGCGGGCCAUGACGAAAAGCGAUAUGGCCAGAGCAGAGACCGACCAAGGCCACGCCGUGAUACAUCUCCGUGGUUAACCCGAAUCGAAAUCAUAAAUCCAGCCAGGACCGGACGAUUCGCAGCGUUUCCCUCAAGGUAGUCUGCGUACAAAAUCGCGCUUGUUUGCCGUGGCCCAAGUUAACACUUUAACUGCCACGUUGGUCGUAUAUGAUCCGCCACGAUUUCUCCUAUGACGCCACGGUGGGUCAUUGGUGUCCGGAGCGCUUGAAUUUCUUACAAUUGUAAAAAUCGUAUGAAAAUUGACAGUUAGGGCAUUUUGAAUAUAACCGAUAAAUAGAAGAUACUUUGAAAUAAAAAGUGAACGACCCAUUGAACAGUUAAA